UACGGGGGGGGCAAGCGUUGUUCGGAAUUACUGGGCAUAAAGGGCUCGUAGGCGGCCAACUAAGUCAGACGUGAAAUCCCCCGGCUUAACCGGGGAACUGCAUCUGAUACUGGAUGGCUUGAGUUCGGGAGAGGGAUGUGGAAAUCCAGGUGCAGCGGUGAAAUGCGUAGAUAUCUGGAGGAACACCGGUGGCGAAGGCGGCAUCCUGGACCGACACUGACGCUGAGGAGCGAAAGCCAGGGGAGCAAAC
rnacentral:rRNA from 1 species